UAAGUAGGAGGGCGCGGACUCUACCUCGCUCAUUUGCUAGUAGCAGCGGUGAGAGGAGAGUGGCCGCUGCGCUGCAUUUGCCCUUCCCCCUUCUUGGCCUCCGAUCCCCGGGCUGGGUGCCCGUCUGUCGCCUCUACGGAGCCCGUGAAUCUUCUGCGAUCUCGUUACACGGCCUGUAGCUUUCCACCUUUGUGGCCUGAAGGUUGGGGCCCGCUUCGGCGUCUAUUCCCUGGCUUGAGGGGCCUCCCAGGCCAGAUCCGGUACUGACUCCUGAUCUGCUCGCCAGGUUUCUCUCCUCAGUCCCGCCGCCCCUCGGGGGCCUCUGCCCGCCAUGAGCUACGGGCGCCCCCCGCCUGAUGUGGAGGGCAUGACUUCCCUGAAGGUGGACAACCUGACCUACCGCACGUCUCCAGACACGUUAAGACGGGUCUUCGAGAAGUACGGGCGGGUGGGGGACGUCUACAUCCCCCGGGACCGCUACACCAAGGAGAGCCGCGGCUUUGCCUUCGUCCGCUUCCACGACAAGCGCGAUGCCGAGGAUGCGAUGGACGCCAUGGACGGCGCAGUGCUGGACGGCCGAGAGCUCCGCGUCCAGAUGGCCCGUUACGGGAGGCCCCCGGACUCCCAUCACAGCCGCCGGGGGCCGCCGCCGCGCCGAUACGGAGGUGGCGGCUACGGACGCCGCAGCCGCAGCCCCAGAAGACGCCGCCGCAGCCGAUCCAGGAGCAGGAGCCGCUCUAGGUCCCGCAGUCGAUCCCGCUACAGUCGGUCCAAGUCCAGAUCCCGCACACGCUCGCGAUCUCGCUCGACCUCUAAGUCUAGGUCUGCUAGGAGAUCCAAAUCCAAGUCGUCAUCCGUCUCCAGAUCCCGAUCCAGGUCGAGGUCCAGAUCCAGGUCUAGAAGUCCCCCACCAGUCUCAAAGAGGGAAUCUAAAUCCAGAUCCAGGUCUAAGAGCCCCCCCAAAUCUCCCGAAGAGGAAGGAGCUGUAUCCUCUUAGGAAAAUGCUGCGGUCUCCUGUUUGCUAAAAGAAUAUUGGCCAGUAUUGCAGAUUUUAACUGAUUUGGCUGAUCCUCCAGGGACCAGUUUCUGUGGGCGUGUAUUGGAGCAGAUGCAUCAGAUAAAUGAGAAAUCUACAUAAAGGACGCCUCUGGGGGAAAAGAUCCUAUGAAUCUUCAGUCCAUUGGAGAGACCCCAGGCACAAGCAACCAGCUGUUGAAAAGGUUAUUUUGUAACAUUUUUGUCUAACUUUUUACUUGUUUAAGUUGAGCCUCAAAUGGCAGACUUUACAUUUUAUGUGCCAUUUUGUUGCUGUUAUUCAAAUUUCUUGUAAUUUAGUGAAGUGAACGACUACCGAUUUCAUUAUUGGCUUGGAUAUUUGAGGUAAAUUUUCAUUUUUUGUUUAUAUAGUACUGGCUUUUGUUUGACUUUAAAAAAACUGAUGGUAACUUAAUUUGUUGCCUCAAGUUUCAUGUUGCGGAAACAUGCAGCCAUUACAUGCCGAGUAGCUGACUGUCAAGGAAGUGUUCUCAAUUUGCCUUCAUUCCUUAAAUAAAAUUCUGCAAAACUUUUUCAGAUGUAAACUUCUUGUAAAUGCUAUUUGCUUUGAAUUUAAAUAGUAUCGUCUAUUCCAAAUUUGUAUAAAACUUUUCAGGUGACAGUUGAUUUUGAAAGGAUUGUUUUAUCAGACUCAAUUCUAAUCUCUUCUCUUAUGUAUUUUUGUGCACUAGGCGCAGUUGUGUAGCAGUUGAGUAAUGCUGGUUAGCUGUUAAGGUGGCGUGUUGCAGUGCAGAGUGCUUGGCUGUUUCCUGUUUUCUCCUGAUUGCUCCUGUGUAACGAUGCCUUGUCGUGCAGAAACAAAUGGCUGUCCAGUUAAUUAAAAUGCCUGACAACUGCACUUCCAGUCACCCGGGCCUUGCAUAAAAAUAAUGGAGCAUACAGUGAGCACAUCUAGCUGAUGAUAUACACACCUUAUUUUUUCCAGAAUGGUAAAUCUUACCAUCUUCUUUUAUGAACUUGCAUAUAAGAAAUGUAAUGUUAAGAGCAAAUGUUUCAUUCCUUUGUAAGUACUGAUUGGUGUAUCUUUUGCUUAUGACAUUAUGUACUAUAACCACUGUCCCUGUAGUUAUUAAACAUUUUUCUUGGUGUUAACUUUUCUCAA